UACGUAGGGGGCAAGCGUUGUCCGGAUUUAUUGGGCGUAAAGAGCGUGUAGGCGGCCACACAGGUCAGCUGUGAAAACUCGAGGCUCAACCUCGAGACGUCGGUUGAAACCGUAUGGCUAGAGUCCGGAAGAGGAGAGUGGAAUUCCUGGUGUAGCGGUGAAAUGCGCAGAUAUCAGGAAGAACACCCGUGGCGAAGGCGGCUCUCUGGGACGGUACUGACGCUGAGACGCGAAAGCGUGGGGAGCGAACAGG
rnacentral:rRNA from 1 species